UACGUAGGGUGCUAGCGUUGUUCGGAAUUACUGGGCGUAAAGCGCGCGUAGGCGGCCAUUCAAGUCAGGGGUGAAAGCCCAGAGCUCAACUCUGGAACUGCCCUUGAAACUGUAUGGCUUGAGUAUGAGAGAGGUGAGUGGAAUUCCCAGUGUAGAGGUGAAAUUCGUAGAUAUUGGGAAGAACACCGGUGGCGAAGGCGGCUCACUGGCUCAUUACUGACGCUCAGGCGCGACAGCGUGGGGAGCAAACAGG
rnacentral:rRNA from 1 species